GGCAGCGCGGGGCAACCUGGCGGCGAGUGGCGAACGGGUGAGUAAUAUAUCGGAACGUGCCCUGGAGUGGGGGAUAACGCAGCGAAAGUUGCGCUAAUACCGCAUACGAUCUAAGGAUGAAAGCGGGGGAUUCGCAAGAACCUCGUGCUCCUGGAGCGGCCGAUAUCUGAUUAGCUAGUUGGUGGGGUAAAGGCCUACCAAGGCAUCGAUCAGUAGCUGGUCUGAGAGGACGACCAGCCACACUGGAACUGAGACACGGUCCAGACUCCUACGGGAGGCAGCAGUGGGGAAUUUUGGACAAUGGGCGAAAGCCUGAUCCAGCAAUGCCGCGUGAGUGAAGAAGGCCUUCGGGUUGUAAAGCUCUUUUGUCAGGGAAGAAACGGUGAAGGCUAAUAUCCUUUGCUAAUGACGGUACCUGAAGAAUAAGCACCGGCUAACUACGUGCCAGCAGCCGCGGUAAUACGUAGGGUGCAAGCGUUAAUCGGAAUUACUGGGCGUAAAGCGUGCGCAGGCGGUUUUGUAAGUCUGUCGUGAAAUCCCCGGGCUCAACCUGGGAAUUGCGAUGGAGACUGCAAGGCUAGAAUCUGGCAGAGGGGGGUAGAAUUCCACGUGUAGCAGUGAAAUGCGUAGAGAUGUGGAGGAACACCGAUGGCGAAGGCAGCCCCCUGGGUCAAGAUUGACGCUCAUGCACGAAAGCGUGGGGAGCAAACAGGAUUAGAUACCCUGNUAGUCCACGCCCUAAACGAUGUCUACUAGUUGUCGGGUUUUAAUUAACUUGGUAACGCAGCUAACGCGUGAAGUANACCGCCUGGGGAGUACGGUCGCAAGAUUAAAACUCAAAGGAAUUGACGGGGANCCGCACAAGCGGUGGAUGAUGUGGAUU
rnacentral:rRNA from 1 species